rnacentral:rRNA from 1 species
ACGUACACUCCUACGGGAGGCAGCAGUGGGGAAUAUUGGACAAUGGGCGCAAGCCUGAUCCAGCCAUGCCGCGUGAGUGAUGAAGGCCCUAGGGUUGUAACGCUCUUUCACCGGAGAAGAUAAUGACGGUAUCCGGAGAAGAAGCCCCGGCUAACUUCGUGCCAGCAGCCGCGGUAAUACGAAGGGGGCUAGCGUUGUUCGGAAUUACUGGGCGUAAAGCGCACGUAGGCGGAUCGAUCAGUCAGGGGUGAAAUCCCAGGGCUCAACCCUGGAACUGCCUUUGAUACUGUCGAUCUGGAGUAUGGAAGAGGUGAGUGGAAUUCCGAGUGUAGAGGUGAAAUUCGUAGAUAUUCGGAGGAACACCAGUGGCGAAGGCGGCUCACUGGGCCAGUACUGACGCUGAGGUGCGAAAGCGUGGGGAGCAAACAGGAUUAGAAACCCGGGUAGUCCC